GGGGAAUAUUGGACAAUGGGGGCAACCCUGAUCCAGCCAUGCCGCGUGUGUGAAGAAGGCCCUCGGGUUGUAAAGCACUUUAAGCGGGGAGGAAGGCCUGAUGGCUAAUAUCCAUCGGGAUUGACGUUACCCGCAGAAUAAGCACCGGCAAACUUCGUGCCAGCAGCCGCGGUAAUACGAAGGGUGCAAGCGUUAAUCGGAAUUACUGGGCGUAAAGCGCGCGUAGGUGGUUAAGUCAGCGAGCUGUGAAAGCCCCGGGCUGAACCUGGGAACUGCAGGUCGAACUGCGUGGCUAGAGUAUGGUAGAGGGGUGUGGAAUUUCCUGUGUAGCGGUGAAAUGCGUAGAUAUAGGAAGGAACAUCAGUGGCGAAGGCGACACCCUGGACCGAUACUGACACUGAGGCGCGAAAGCGUGGGUAGCGAAC
rnacentral:rRNA from 1 species